rnacentral:rRNA from 1 species
GUUGCUCGGAAUUACUGGGCGUAAAGGGCUCGUAGGCUGCCAACUAAGUUGGAUGUGAAAUCCCCAGGCUCAACCUGGGAACUGCAUCCGAUACUGGAUGGCUUGAAUCCGGGAGAGGGAUGCAGAAUUCCAGGUGUAGCGGUGAAAUGCGUAGAUAUCUGGAGGAAUACCGGUGGCGAAGGCGGCAUCCUGGACCGGCAUUGACGCUGAGGAGCGAAAGCCAGGGGAGCAAACAGG